rnacentral:rRNA from 1 species
UUAAGCGACUAAGCGUACACGGUGGAUGCCUAGGCAGUCAGAGGCGAUGAAGGGCGUGCUAAUCUGCGAUAAGCGUCGGUAAGCUGAUAUGAAGCGUUACAACCGACGAUACCCGAAUGGGGAAACCCAGUGCAAUUCGUUGCACUAUUGCAUGGUGAAUACAUAGCCAUGCAAGGCGAACCGGGGGAACUGAAACAUCUAAGUACCCCGAGGAAAAGAAAUCAACCGAGAUUCCCCCAGUAGCGGCGAGCGAACGGGGAAGAGCCCAGAGUCUGAAUCAGUUUGUGUGUUAGUGGAAGCGUCUGGAAAGUCGCACGGUACAGGGUGAUAGUCCCGUACACAAAAACACACCUUCUGUGAACUCGAUGAGUAGGGCGGGACACGUGACAUCCUGUCUGAAUAUGGGGGGACCAUCCUCCAAGGCUAAAUACUCCUGACUGACCGAUAGUGAACCAGUACCGUGAGGGAAAGGCGAAAAGAACCCCGGCGAGGGGAGUGAAAUAGAACCUGAAACCGUGUACGUACAAGCAGUGGGAGCACCUUCGUGGUGUGACUGCGUACCUUUUGUAUAAUGGGUCAGCGACUUAUAUUUUGUAGCAAGGUUAACCGAAUAGGGGAGCCGUAGGGAAACCGAGUCUUAACUGGGCGUCUAGUUGCAAGGUAUAGACCCGAAACCCGGUGAUCUAGCCAUGGGCAGGUUGAAGGUUGGGUAACACUAACUGGAGGACCGAACCGACUAAUGUUGAAAAAUUAGCGGAUGACUUGUGGCUGGGGGUGAAAGGCCAAUCAAACCGGGAGAUAGCUGGUUCUCCCCGAAAGCUAUUUAGGUAGCGCCUCGUGAACUCAUCUUCGGGGGUAGAGCACUGUUUCGGCUAGGGGGUCAUCCCGACUUACCAAACCGAUGCAAACUCCGAAUACCGAAGAAUGUUAUCACGGGAGACACACGGCGGGUGCUAACGUCCGUCGUGAAGAGGGAAACAACCCAGACCGCCAGCUAAGGUCCCAAAGUCAUGGUUAAGUGGGAAACGAUGUGGGAAGGCAUAGACAGCCAGGAUGUUGGCUUAGAAGCAGCCAUCAUUUAAAGAAAGCGUAAUAGCUCACUGGUCGAGUCGGCCUGCGCGGAAGAUGUAACGGGGCUAAACCAUGCACCGAAGCUGCGGCAGCGACGCUUAGGCGUUGUUGGGUAGGGGAGCGUUCUGUAAGCCGUUGAAGGUGGCCUGUGAGGGCUGCUGGAGGUAUCAGAAGUGCGAAUGCUGACAUAAGUAACGAUAAUGCGGGUGAAAAACCCGCACGCCGGAAGACCAAGGGUUCCUGUCCAACGUUAAUCGGGGCAGGGUGAGUCGACCCCUAAGGCGAGGCUGAAAAGCGUAGUCGAUGGGAAACAGGUUAAUAUUCCUGUACUGGGUGUUACUGCGAAGGGGGGACGGAGAAGGCUAGGCUAGCCGGGCGACGGUUGUCCCGGUUUAAGCAUGUAGGCGGAGUGACUUGGUAAAUCCGGUUGCUUAUCAACGCUGAGGUGUGAUGACGAUGCACUACGGUGCAGAAGUAGUUGAUGCCAAGCUUCCAGGAAAAGCCUCUAAGCAUCAGGUAACAUUGAAUCGUACCCCAAACCGACACAGGUGGUCAGGUAGAGAAUACUCAGGCGCUUGAGAGAACUCGGGUGAAGGAACUAGGCAAAAUGGUGCCGUAACUUCGGGAGAAGGCACGCUGGCAUUAGGUAAAGAGACUUGCUCUCGGCGCCGAAGCCAGUCGCAGAUACCAGCUGGCUGCAACUGUUUAAUAAAAACACAGCACUGUGCAAACACGAAAGUGGACGUAUACGGUGUGACGCCUGCCCGGUGCUGGAAGGUUAAUUGAUGGGGUCAGCCGCAAGGCGAAGCUCUUGAUCGAAGCCCCAGUAAACGGCGGCCGUAACUAUAACGGUCCUAAGGUAGCGAAAUUCCUUGUCGGGUAAGUUCCGACCUGCACGAAUGGCGUAAUGAUGGCCAGGCUGUCUCCACCCGAGACUCAGUGAAAUUGAACUCGCUGUGAAGAUGCAGUGUACCCGCGGCAAGACGGAAAGACCCCGUGAACCUUUACUAUAGCUUGACACUGAACAUUGAGCCUUGAUGUGUAGGAUAGGUGGGAGGCAUUGAAGUGUGGACGCCAGUCUGCAUGGAGCCAACCUUGAAAUACCACCCUUUAAUGUUUGAUGUUCUAACUCGGCCCCGUGAUCCGGGGUGAGGACAGUGUCUGGUGGGUAGUUUGACUGGGGCGGUCUCCUCCCAAAGAGUAACGGAGGAGCACGAAGGUUAGCUAAUCACGGUCGGACAUCGUGAGGUUAGUGCAAAGGCAUAAGCUAGCUUGACUGCGAGAGUGACGGCUCGAGCAGGUACGAAAGUAGGUCUUAGUGAUCCGGUGGUUCUGAAUGGAAGGGCCAUCGCUCAACGGAUAAAAGGUACUCCGGGGAUAACAGGCUGAUACCGCCCAAGAGUUCAUAUCGACGGCGGUGUUUGGCACCUCGAUGUCGGCUCAUCACAUCCUGGGGCUGAAGUAGGUCCCAAGGGUAUGGCUGUUCGCCAUUUAAAGUGGUACGCGAGCUGGGUUUAGAACGUCGUGAGACAGUUCGGUCCCUAUCUGCCGUGGGCGUUGGAAGAUUGAGAGGGGCUGCUCCUAGUACGAGAGGACCGGAGUGGACGAAUCACUGGUGUUCGGGUUGUCAUGCCAAUGGCAUUGCCCGGUAGCUAAAUUCGGAAGAGAUAACCGCUGAAAGCAUCUAAGCGGGAAACUUGCCUCGAGAUGAGUCUUCCCUGGGGCUUUAAGCCCCCUGAAGGAACGUUAAAGACUAUGACGUUGAUAGGCUGGGUGUGUAAGUGCAGCGAUGCAUUGAGCUAACCAGUACUAAUGAUCCGUGAGGCUUAACCUU